rnacentral:rRNA from 1 species
AAAAGGGACAUUUGGGGGCAUACGAACUCGGCAGCGAGAGGUGAAAUUCUAAGACCUGCCGAGGUCGAACUAAAGCGAAAGCAUUUGCCAAGAAUGUUUUCAUUGAUCAAGAACGAAAGUUGGAGGAUCAAAAACGAUCAGAUACCGUUGUAGUUCCAACUUUAAACUAUGCCGACUGUAGGGGCCAGUUCGGUAUAUCCGUACUUAUUGACCUCCCAGGGAAACCAUAGUAGGGUUCUGGGGGGAGUACGGUCGCAAGUCUGAAACUUAAAGGAAUUGACGGAAGGGCACCACCAGGAGUGGAUCCUGCGGCUUAAUUUGACUCAACACGGGGAAACUUACCCGGUCCGGACACCGAUAGGAUUGACAGACUAAUCGCUCUUUCAUGAUACGGUGAUGAGUGGUGCAUGGCCGUUCAUAGUUGGUGGAGCGAUUUGUCUGGUUAAUUCCGUUAACGAACGAGACUAAAACCUUCAUUUAAUUUGCCAAUCAUGUUCUAGAUCCUUCGGGGUCGUGAGCUAGACUUGAUCAAACUAUUUGAAUGGGAUUAACGCCGUAAUCGAAAGGCGUUUGAAAUUUUUCAAUAACAGGUCUGUGAUGCCCUUAGAUGUCCGGGGCCGC